GGGAGUUAAAUGCCAUAUUGAUGGUUUAACUCUACAGUGUUGAUUUAAACUCAAAAGCUAGUGUUACCGCCUGAAGUCUAUCAUUUCCGUUACUUGCCUGCAGUGAGGCGGGAAACCAGACAGCUUUUUUUUCACUCGACUGGAUCGGACUGGACACGCUCGUGAGUGGGAGCAUUCACAAGUAAGUAAAUUUAAACCAGUAACUUAUGUUUAUUUAAUUAUAUUUGUAGUGGUGGGCCUAUUUUUUUCGACAGGUAACAUUAAGUUAGCUAAUACUUAAUAUUCUAGUUAGUUUGAUAGUGCUAGCUAAUCAGUUCACCAUGCAACAGUUAUUACCACGCUCAAAAGGAUAGCUUAUGUGUACAAUUUCACGUAACGCUCAAUGUAUGGAACAAAUACAGUUAUAAUUUUCUUAGGUGAAACUCAGAAGUAUGUUAAAGUUGCCCAAACUGAAGAGGGCUAUGAAGACUACAAUACAUUUCUUCAGAAAGUCAUAGAAAAGUUAGGUCUUCCAUUGCAGACCGAGCUGCAUGUCACAGAUGAUUCUGGGACAGAAGUGGAUGCGGAUGUGUAUGAGGAGCUUUUAAAAGCAGGGAAUCUUAUCAUUCAUGUGUCCACAGAAAAGUCUACAGAUGGUGAGAAACGUUUUCCAGUCUAAGCCGGGGGGAGAAAAAAUCUUGCACGAGUAUGACAAAACAAAGACAUUGACGGAUGCUACACGGCGACAAAUGGUAAACCUCCUGGUUGCAGACAUGAUGGAAGUACAUGGGUAAGUAUACCAUGUUGGUAACACUUUACUUGAAGGGGUGUGCAUAAUCAUGACAUGUCACAUGUCAUGAGGUUUUAUGCAUGUUUAUGACAACUGUAAUUAAGUAUCAUUCACUCAAUUAUGACAUUUUUAAUGCAAAUGUCAUAACAAAGACAUCUCAAACAAUGUCAUAUUUGCAUUAAAAAUGUACAUAACUGAGCUAAUGACAUUUAAUGACAGUUGUCAUAAACACAGUUGUCAAAUAACUGAGCUAAUGACAUUUAAUGACAGUUGUCAUAAACACAGUUGUCAUAAACACACCCCUUUAAGUAAAGUGUUACCGUUUUGUUUGAUAGGCAUUAAGUCCAUAUUUUUAUCCCUCUUGAAGGGGGAAAAAGCUUGAACAAUAAUAUAUUUUCUACUUUAAAGGAGAAUACCACCAACCCAUGUGCGAACAAAAUAUGCUGUUGGCAUCACCACUCUAUUUCCCAACCUUAGUGAUCCAUACUCUGGAAACGGAUAUGUAAGUUUUUUUUAAUUAAUGGCUUAUAUUGCAAUAUAUGAAGAAUGUGAGAAUGUGUAUGUUCUUAAUUUCUUCUUAUGUUGCCAUGUGGUGAUGUGACCCCUGUGUUGCAUACUUUUGUUCUUUUUGGGUUUUACAGGAACACUACUAUGAUGCAGAAAGUGGGUCUGGCUACUUGGCCUGGAGGAUAAAGACCGUUCAGCGCAACACUGCAGUUCAAUCUCGGAGAUGCUCCACCAGCACUACGUAUGGUCCAAAGAGCAAGAGGGAUUUUCUCCUGGCUGACAAGCAACUGUUCGGCGAGGAAUGCCGUGAGGCAAUAUCCUUAUUGAAACAUUCAACUGAUGUGUCAGUUGUCAAAGAUAAGAUGAUGGCAACAUUUCAAUACCGCCAGACGCUAGUUCAGGACCAGCAAAACUCUGCAACAGUCUUGGAUGUGUUCCCGCGGUUUCUCGACAUCCCCGGCUUGGUAAGAAAGACAUACCUUUGUUUGAUCAGCGUAUUUUUGAAGUGAACAAUUAUGACUCAAUAUUCUUUCAGUAUCAAGGACUUAAGGUGUUUCUUCUGUAGAUUGACCAAGAUUUUACCAUGAUGUUUGGAGAAGAGGUUUCUGGCAGAUUUUUGGCAAAAUGGCCGACGUACUUCAAACCCAGGCUCCUGGCAGACUGCAAGAACCGGACUUCUAAUGAGCAUGUUGAAGAACUCUUGUCUGCGCAGCAAAACUCAAAUGAGUCUGGUAAGUGUGCCUCAUUCUGCCUUUAAAACAUUUACACAACAGAUUCUUAUCUUCUUACCUUAAGUAUUGUCUUUGGCAUAAUCUGUCAUUUUUUAAAUAAUAUUUUAAGAUAGAAAUGUUUCUGAACAUCUUACACUUAAUUCUACUUUGCUCCUAGGCUGGGACAGUGACCUGUCAAGCGUUCUACUGCUGGUUCACCUGCUCCCCCCUACGUCAAAAGGCCACAAGAAGAGUGCUAAGAUUAGCUCAUAUCAAGCUGUCAACCAUGUGGCGAGAUAUCUUAAGGUAUUUUGUGUUUAAUGUUUUUCAUCCACUUGUUCUCAUACUGCCGUUGCUUGUGUUGCAUAACUUAAAUUAAUAUUUUCUGUCUCUGUGUUUGUCACAGAUUGGAGCCAGUGUUGAGGCCUUCCUAGGGAGCUUGGAACCAGGACAGCCCUUCCUCCUCUGUGUUGGUGAACAGAAGAACAACAUUCAGAGGUUCUAUGUCAUCGUUGACCAGAAGGCCAUUCCUUGCAAGGAGCAAACAUCCCUGGCAGCUUUCGAUGAGCUUUUCAAGGCACACUUCAUCUUCAGUGUUAACUACCAUGAAUCCCUCAACAGCUUCUACACAUUCAUCCAAACCACAGUGUUUAAAGGGGGGGGGUGAAAUGCUCAUUCUCACUCAAUCUCCUGUUAAUCUUGAGUACCUAUAGAGUAGUACUGCAUCCUUCAUAUCUCCAAAAAGUCUUUAGUUUUAGUAUAUUUAUAAGAGAAAGAUAGUCUGUACCGAUUUUUUUUCGGAAAAACACGAGCGGCUGGAGGCGUGACGUGUGGGCGGAGCUAAAGAAUCACAUGCGCUACUUUUACAACAUUUGUGUGUUUACUCGUGGUUUAUAAGGACAUGAAUUGAUUUAUGGAUUAUUGUAUGUGACUUAUCAGUACACACGCGGAACCGUUUUGCACAUCAGACUAAUAUUUCAUAGAA
rnacentral:lncRNA from 1 species